GUGAAUUUUUUUUCUAAAAAUUAAGUCAUGUGGAUAAUGUCUAUGGACCGUAUGAAUUUAAAUGGACCCUAGAAAAGUCUUGUGGGAAGUAAUGUGAUUGGGUGUCUGUAGUUGGUUUUACAGUUGACUAGUACAGACCGUAUAAAGUUUUAUAGACCAUAGGAACCAUCCAAUAGUUAUUUUAAGGGUAUAUAGGUAUUAUACUAUUCAUCUAAUACCUAUAAUACGUUGUUUUACCCCCUAUUUGUAGGUCCGAACUGUAGGAACCACCCGACAAUUACUUUUAAGGGUAAUUGAGUCAUUUUUGAUGCAUCUAAUAUAUAAACUACGUCUUUUUACUCCUAUUUCUAAGUCCUACAAUUGGUUUUCUAUUCCUAAAACUAACCCAUCUCUCUCAUUCUCUCAAACUCCUAAAUUCCACCAACAUUCAUGCCUUCUAAUUUUCUCCUAAGGAGAUUUUGGACAUUUGCAUAGAAGGCUUGGAAUCAUUUUCCAAGUGAGUAUGUGCUCAACUCCGAGGAUGAUUCCUUGUUAUUAGUCUAGCUAUGUUUAUUUGCUGUAGUCUAAAGAUGAUCAUUUCAUUCUACUUGUUCCAAGAUAUUGUAUUAAGCCGUAAGUUGCAUUUGUUCAUUGUGUAAGGGCUUAUGCCCAUGUUGAUUUGACUCAAUUAAGAUGGUUUAAUAUGAUACAUCCCUUUUAAGACUA